AUUGAACGCUGGCGGCAUGCUUUACACAUGCAAGUCGAACGGUAACAGGUUAAGCUGACGAGUGGCGAACGGGUGAGUAAUGCAUCGGAACGUGCCCGGUCGUGGGGGAUAACACUUCGAAAGAAGUGCUAAUACCGCAUACGAUCUGAGGAUGAAAGCAGGGGACCGUAAGGCCUCGCGCGAUCGGAGCGGCCGAUGUCAGAUUAGGUAGUUGGUGGGGUAAAGGCUCACCAAGCCGACGAUCUGUAGCUGGUCUGAGAGGACGACCAGCCACACUGGGACUGAGACACGGCCCAGACUCCUACGGGAGGCAGCAGUGGGGAAUUUUGGACAAUGGGCGCAAGCCUGAUCCAGCAAUGCCGCGUGCAGGAAGAAGGCCUUCGGGUUGUAAACUGCUUUUGUACGGAGCGAAAAGGCUCUCUCUAAUACAGGGGGCUCAUGACGGUACCGUAAGAAUAAGCACCGGCUAACUACGUGCCAGCCGCCGCUGUAAAAC
rnacentral:rRNA from 1 species